rnacentral:rRNA from 1 species
CCUGCCCAAGAGAUCGGGAUAACACCUGGAAACAGAUGCUAAUACCGGAUAACAACAGAUGAUGCCUAUCAACUGUUUAAAAGAUGGUUCUGCUAUCACUCUUGGAUGGACCUGCGGUGCAUUAGCUAGUUGGUAGGGUAACGGCCUACCAAGGCGAUGAUGCAUAGCCGAGUUGAGAGACUGAUCGGCCACAUUGGGACUGAGACACGGCCCAAACUCCUACGGGAGGCAGCAGCU